rnacentral:rRNA from 1 species
CUUAUUUCUAGAGUAUAGAAAGUUUACUUCGGUACAUCGGUGACAGUGGUGCAUGGUUGUCGUCAGCUCGUGUCGUGAGAUGUUGGGUUAAGUCCCGCAACGAGCGCAACCCCUAUUGUUAGUUGCCAUCAUUCAGUUGGGCACUCUAGCGAGACUGCCGGUAAUAAACCGGAGGAAGUGGGGAUGACGUCAAAUCAUCAUGCCCCUUAUGACCUGGGCUACACACGUGCUACAAUGGUUGGUACAACGAGUUGCGAGUCGGUGACGGCGAGCUAAUCUCUUAAAGCCAAUCUCAGUUCGGAUUGUAGGCUGCAACUCGCCUACAUGAAGUCGGAAUCGCUAGUAAUCGCGGAUCAGCACGCCGCGGUGAAUACGUUCCCGGGCCUU